GAUGAAGAACGUAGCGAAAUGCGAUAAGUAAUGUGAAUUGCAGAAUUCAGUGAAUCAUCGAAUCUUUGAACGCACCUUGCGCCCUUUGGCUAUUCCGAAGGGCAUGCCUGUUUGAGUAUCAUGAACACCUCAACUCUCAUGGCUUGCCAUGAUGAGCUUGGACUUUUGGGGGUCUUGCUAGCCUGUGGUCAGCUCCUCUCAAAUGAAUUAGCCUGCCAGUGUUUGGUGGCAUCACAGGUGUGAUAACUAUCUACGCUUGUGGUUUUCCACCAGGUAACCUUCAGUGAUGAAGGUUCGCUGGGGCUCAUAAACGUCUCUCCUCAGUGAGGACAGCUCUUUGAACGUUUGAUCUCAAAUCAGGUAGGACUACCCGCUGAACUUAAGCAUAUCAAUAAGCGGAGGA
rnacentral:misc_RNA from 1 species